rfam:TPA: Bos taurus chromosome 25, whole genome shotgun sequence.
UCCCUGGUGGCUCAGUGGUAAAGCAUCUGCCUGCCAUGCAGGAGAUGCAGGAGACCCAGGCUCAAUCCCUGGGUUGGGAA